rnacentral:rRNA from 1 species
UUAGCGAGUUAAUUACAACUCCAAACCCCUGUGACUUACCUAUGUUGCCUUGGCAGGUCGUGGUGUGUAGCGUGAUCGCUAUAAGGGAUCACCGCCUCGCACCACGCUGAAAGACCUGUUAAAGGACCCCUAAACUCUGUCUUACAACUGUAUCUCUGAGUCUAUUAUAUAAACAAGUUAAAACUUUCAACAACGGAUCUCUUGGCUCUGGCAUCGAUGAAGAACGCAGCGAAAUGCGAUAAGUAAUGUGAAUUGCAGAAUUCAGUGAAUCAUCGAAUCUUUGAACGCACAUUGCGCCUGAUAGUAUUCUGUCAGGCAUGCCUGUUCGAGCGUCAUUUCAACCCCCAAGCCCUAAUCUGCUUGACGUUGGGAGUUUACGGAGACGUAAUUCCUCAAAUAUAGUGGCGGAGCUAGGUCGUGCUCUAAGCGUAGUAACCACACUCUCGCUUCUGCAGCCGGCCUAGGUCUUGCCGUAAAACCCCUAUAUUUAUUUUUUACUGGUUGACCUCGGAUCAGGUAGGAAUACCCGCUGAACUUAAGCAUAUCAA